GAUGAAGAACGUAGCGAAAUGCGAUAAGUAAUGUGAAUUGCAGAAUUCAGUGAAUCAUCGAAUCUUUGAACGCACAUUGCGCCCCUUGGUAUUCCAUGGGGCAUGCCUGUUCGAGCGUCAUUUGUACCUUCAAGCUCUGCUUGGUGUUGGGUGUUUGUCCUUGCUCUAGUGGCGGGACUCGCCUUAAAGUAAUUGGCAGCCAGUGUUUUGGUUUUGAAGCGCAGCACAAGUCGCGAUUCAAGUCUAUACGCUAGUUUCCACAAGUCUUUUAUCACUUUUGACCUCGGAUCAGGUAGGGAUACCCGCUGAACUUAAGCAUAUCAAUAAGCGGAGGA
rnacentral:misc_RNA from 1 species